rnacentral:lncRNA from 1 species
ACAUUAUUAAUUGAGGGCAUGCUCCUAUUUCCUUAGUUAAAGAAAAAAAUCAUUUUUAAAAAAAGAUAGUAUUUUUCUGUGGAGAUCCCCUGGAACUGAAGUUACAGAUGGUUGUGAGUUGCCAUGAGGUGCUGGCAACUGGAGGCAGGUCCUCUGCAAGAGCAGCCGGUGCUGUAGCUGCUGAGCCUUCUGGCCACCGUCUCUGUUCAAUGAAAAAUUACUACUUUAUGUCUAUGUGUCAGUCCUAGCUUUUGUUGUCCGGAUUCUUCCACUUUUGACCAUUGCUAAAUCUUUCAGGUGUCUGCUGUUUCCCACCAGCUUCUAUUUGAUUGGUCGGUGUUUUGUUUCUUUGUUACUCUGUUGCAAAGACUGGCCUAGACCGCUCAGCGCCUUUCCUGCUUUAGCUUCUUACAAUUGAGAUUACCGACUCGGGCUACUAUAGAACUUUAUUUCAGUUUGGGGGAAGGAGCCCAGGCUAGCCACCAACUCAAGAUCUUAACUGCUUUCACUUCUGAAUCCCUUUAGUGUUAAGAAUACAGAACUGCUAGGUACAAAGAGAUUUAAAACAUAUUUCAAUUCUCAUCUUUUUGUCACAAUCUGUAAAUGAGUUUUGUAAAUAUUUGCGGUCAUUAUUUGAAGAAGUCAUUUUGAAGUCAAUUGAAGCGUUUUCCUUUUUUCCAUUUAAGAUUUAUUUUUAUUUCUCUGUGUGUGUGUGUGUGUAAACAUGUGUAUGCACGCAUGCUUGCUCAUGCCUGUGUUGAGUGUGUAAAUGUGCACAUGAGUGUGAGGAUAUUUGGUCCCCUGGAUCUGGAAUGUCAGAAAGUCUAAGUUGUUUGAUGUGAUGCUGGGGUUGAGCUUGGGUGCUCUGUAAGAACAGCCAGCACGUCUUUAAGCAGUGAGCCAUCCUUUGGCUCCAGGUCUGUUUGUUGUCAUUUGCAGUUCUAAUACAGAAUAAUUUAUAGAAAAGACUGAAUGAUAAUAAUCCUAGUGUUAGUAUCUGGGUUUACUGUAACAGAUUACUACAAACUAGGUGGCUUAAAACAACUGAAAUGUCCUCUUUUAUGGUUCUAACGGCAAAAAGUAUGAAAGCAAAGUUUGACAGGUACCUUCCUUCCUUCUGGGUUUUGAUGGCACCUAUCUUUCUGUUCUUUAGCUUGUAGAGUUGUCCAAUCUCUGGCAUUGUAGGCACAGGACAGUCUCAGAUACUUAUGUCUGUCCUCAUCUGAAAUUGUCCUCAUCCUAAAUUGAGUACUGUAUCCACACAGACACUGGUUUCCAAAUAAGUACAGGUAACAUGGAUUUAGGACUUCAGCCUGUCUUUGGGAAGAUUACCAGUUAGUCCAUAACUCUGGUUUUAGUUUUUUCCAGCAGUAUGAUACUGUUGAUAAUCAAGUGCAGUCUUUGGUUAUUGGCUUUUCUAGUCUUCCCAAAUUCAAGUUGUUUUUCAAGAAAAUCACAUUUAACUUUACCCUGUGAAAGAAAAUUUUGUCAACAGUCUGUUGCAUGAAUCAUCAAAAUUAGACUUCUCCAAACCUGAAAAGUUGAUGAUCUCUGAAAAUAAGUCUUAAAAGGAGACUAAGCUGAUUCAAUCUUUUUUUUUUUAAAGCCACAUUUAUCUAUUUUGUGUACGUAUGUCUCUGUGUGAGAACACACGUGCCUUGACAUGUUUGUGGAGGUCAGAGGACUACUUUCACGAAUUGGUCCUCGUCUUUGACCAUGCAUGUGUGUUACAGGGAUAAAAUGCAUUCAGGUUACCAGGAUGGGUGGCAAGUGCCUUUACCUACUGAGCUAUUUUAUGGCUCUCAGGAUUUUUUUUCUCCUUGUGUUGGGGGGACAUGAGGGUGCUGGGGAUCAUACAUAGGCUUUGCAUAUGUAAGCCAAGUUCUCUACUACUUACGUGUAUCCCUAGGUCCUAGAAAUCAAACCAUGGCAUUAAAUAAAUAGUAAUAUUAAGAUAUACUUUUUGUGGCUAAAGUUGCAUAUUUAGUGGGUAACAUAUAUGAGUGAUAAAUGAGUAAAAUACCUAACCAUUUAAUAUAAACACAAUACAAUGAUAGAGCGAGCACUCAGUAAGGUUUCCUCUGUUCAUAAGGAAAUCUUUGAGCAUUCAAACAUUUAUUCUACAAGAACUAUUGCAUAUUAACUUUUAAUUUAUGGAGAUUUUCAGACAGUGUCUGCCUUCAACAGUUAACGUUUUCCAAAUUAUUACUCACCCAAUAUACGACCAUAAGUUUUCAUGGUUUAAAUCCAUUAUUAAAACUUAGUGGGUCUGUUGAUAUAGUUCAGCAGUAGUGCCUUUGCUUAUCUCAAGAAACAAAAAAAAGUUGAAUUAAAAAUUGUGUCUGUGGAACUGUUCAUAUUGAACAUAGUCAUGUUUUCCAAACUAAAAGUCCAAAUACAGGACCAAACUCAACAACAAGCUUCAAAAUACUUUACAAGUAGGAGCAGGUACUUUUAAUUUAAAAUAGGUUCUGGCAGGGCUGUGGUGGUGCAUGCCUUUAAUCCAUCACUCAGGAGGCAGAGGCACUCAGGUCUCCAAGUUUGAGACCAGCUUGGUCUGCAGAGUGAGUUCCAAGACAGCCAGGGCUAUACAGAGAAAUCAACCUAUCUUUAAAAACAAAAACAAAAAUACAAACCUGUCUGUCAGUGGGUUAUAUAUUUAUAGGUACAGCCAAUUGCAGAUUAGAAGUACUUGGUAAAGUGGAUCUAGUAAGCAUACUCAGAUUUUUGUUUUAUGUAACAAAAAUGCUAUUUUAUGUGAGGGAGCUGAGCAUCCUAAAGUUUUGGUUCCCUAUGGAUAUUACAUCAAUCAUCCACGGAUACUGAAGGGCGUAAUAUGCAUGUUUUUUUGGUUUGGUUGUGGGAUAGCAUCUCAGAAGGAGGAUACAGGUUGCUAUGGACAUAUGGCCCAGCUGACCUUGAACUCAGAGAUUUGCCUUAGUGCUGGUUCCCGUCCCCACCCCCAGCACUGUAACCUGUGCUUUGAUUCUUGUAUAUCAGGAGUCAGAGUAGUCUGCUUUAGAAGUUUUGAAUAUGGUAAGUUCUUUUGUAUAAAGAUCUUAUGGUGAACGU